AACGCACAUUGCGCCCGCCAGCAUUCUGGCGGGCAUGCCUGUUCGAGCGUCAUUUCAACCCUCGCAGCCUGUCGGCAGCGGUGUUGGGUAUCAGCAGAAGUCUAUGUAUGCUGCACCCCAAAUACAGUGGCGGUCUCGCUGCAGCCUCCCAUGCGUAGUAGCACACCUCGCACGUGGAGCGCGGCGCGGCCACGCCGUAAAAUCCCCGACUCUCCUGAGUUUGACCUCGGAUCAGGUAGGAAUACCCGCUGAACUUAA
rnacentral:misc_RNA from 1 species